UAGCCCAUUUAAGCGCUAGGAACUCUAGCUUUCCAGAGUGAAGGUUAUAAUUUUUCUCUGGGGGGGUGAGCGUUCUGGACCCAUAUGAGCGUUCUGGACCCACGGCAAGCUAUUACCCUUAGCUUGCCGUGACUGCGCUGGUAAAGCACUGCUCCUAGUCCUGCCUGAGAAGCAUCCGUGUGCAGGACGAAUGGAUCAUUAAAGUCCGGGUAGCCUAGAAUUGGAGGGCUGGAGAGUUUGUCAAUCAGAUAACACAACACCUGCUGGUGAUUGUCAGUCCAUGAAACGUGUGUCCUUGAGGCACCGCUGGACUGGGCAUAGGGCAUGGCGGGCAUAUGCCCGGUGGCCUGAAGCCUUUUAUUUAUUUUUUUAUUCAUGCCAAACUCGCGUCUAACGUAGCAGGCCACGUUAACUUCAAUGCAGGCCACAUUAACGUCAAUUCAAGUUAAUGCAAGUUAAACUGGCAGAUCUGCCCUUUAUCAUGGUUGAUUGAAGCCUGGGCCAAUGAGGUGAGGGGCAGGCCAAUUUCGCCUACCCCUCCAUCUCAGCCUCCGUUGGUGACUUGGUUGGUUAGCCACUGCUAGCAGGCAGAUCGAAAACGGGCAAUAUGGACCCUAGUUGGAAGAAAAGAAAGGGUGGCGCUGAAAGAGCCAGGGACCAGAAAAAAGCAGCCCUUCAGGCAGAUGCUACGAAAUGCCUAAACAUAGCUGAUAUGUUUGCUGCUCGUGGACAUGGAGCCUCCACAUCUGCAGCAGCAGCAUCAACAGGUAGUGGAGGAGAAGAUGCUCGACAGCAGGUGGACGAGGCGGCCAUGACGGUUCCCAUGCUUAAGGAGUGCUGGGUGUUGCUGCUGAGAAGAGACAGAUGGGGUAGCAUCAGCAUCUCUCCCACUUGUUGGAUUGUGUGUGUGUGUGUGUGUGUGUGUGUGUGUGUGUGUGUGUGUGUGUGUGUGUGUGUGUGUUCUGGUCCAUUUGAAAGCUCUAAUUGGUUUGCAUGCUGCAUGUAAGUUACCCAUUCCUUUUCGUUUUAAUGUUUGUUUUAUUGAUAUUCAUAUUCUUAAUAUACAGUAUAAUUGUGUAUUUAUUUACUUUAUUUUUUCUAUUUAUUUUGUACAGUUAAGUUAAGCAAUUUAUUUUAUUUUGUACAGUUAAGUAAUUAUUGACUCAUUGUAAAUAUAAGUGUUUAACUUCAAUUGUUAUGUGUGUCAUCACUUUUUAUUUUAUAUUCAAAAUUAAAUGGAUGAAAAUCC